UAUUAAACGAAAACAGAUCUCAUUGUACAAUUAUGAAACAAAACAUCGUUACACCUUUGCAUGACGCAGUCGACAUAUUAUAAUAUGUAUGUCAAAAACACUCGACUAACCGAAAAGUCCUAAGCAAACACUAAGAUGUUUUUAUCGGCGCAAGGUCGCGAUACAUUAUCGUCAUCUCAAACACGGUUUAUCAGCUUCCAAACUGAAUCUCAGUGAUACAUGACCUUGUUCCGCGAUGAAAAUUCCAGUUUACAUACUGUUAAAAGUGAUCACGCGUUCUACGCGCCUAUCAAUUUUCGUUCAAUGCAUUUUAGAUUGUAAUCUACCACCGGAUCGGAAACGCGACCCACAGAAGAUCCGGCGAGAAACUCAGUGGGCUGUGUCUGGGAGUUAAUUUACUCGUCGAGCCCUUCGUCGCAAGCGACGGGUUCGUCGAGAACGGUGACCGGUGCUUGAAGUUCCUAGAAGCACCGUUAGUGGAUCGGGAGGAUCCGAGAUGACGUGUUUUGGGAGACGUCGACUGCUUUCCAUUCUUUCCGCAGGAUCGGGAAUUAGGAGUGGGUAAUAUCGGUUUUGCCGCGUAUCGAAUCGUAUCUAUAUAUCGAGGAUCAAUAUCGGAUAUUGAAUCUAUAUAUUUUCUGAAUCUAUAUAUUGAUGGAUGCUAGUAGAUUUUCUCGAUUCAUGAUAUUUGAGAUUUGAAACGAUACGCUGAUAUAAUAUCAUAGUAGAUAUAGAUUUAAGUCAACGUUAUACGGUUGGUUUUCUGAUAUCAAUUUAUAAUAUGAUCUUAAAGUAAUAAAAAGAACAUGAAAAUAAAAAUAUCAAAAAAA